UUGAAAAAGCAGAACUCACAAAAAUAUAUCGCGUUUUUAUAUGACAAUCAAUAUACCAUUUGUCAUCAUCCAUAAUUUGGUCAUCAAUGAUGACAGAUAUAUGAGUGUUGGAGUGCUGAAGACAUUUUUGUUGCAGUUCUCUGUAUCAUAUUUUAUAAAGGAACGAAAAUCCGCAGACAUUUUUUAGAUUCAAAGACUUCUGCAACCAUGUCUGAAGAUAUUUGAAAUUUCUACCUGGCAUCUCUGUACGUUACAGCAGAAAGUAAGAAAACGUCAUUUACUUUUCUUCACGACGCCAUUGCUGAUGGUUGAGCCUGAGUUGUCUUUCCGGUAAAAUAGUGAAUAAACCACAGCGUUAUUCCGAGGACAAUCGUCGAUCGCUUUCGGUUAGCAGGUGGCAAUUCGUAUGUCUUUUUUUGCCCUAAUGCAGUCCUUUCUGUUUCAUCCGUUUUUCGAAAAUCCAUAGCCGAGGGAUAAGAAAAAGGAAUGGCGUCGCACCGGAGGGAUAGAAUUUAAUCGUGUCAUCAGCGUUCAUCAAUAAUAUUAUGUGUUAACAAGAGCGAAUAGAUUUAAAUAAAACACAAAAUGUAACUUUA